CGUAGGGUGCGAGCGUUAAUCGGAAUUACUGGGCGUAAAGUGUGCGCAGGUGGCUGAGCAAGUCGAGUGUGAAAUCCCCGGGCUUAACUUGGGAAUUGCGCUCGAAACUACUUGGCUCGAGUGUGGCAGAGGAAGGUGGAAUUCCAGGUGUAGCGGUGAAAUGCGUAGAGAUCUGGAGGAACACCGAUGGCGAAGGCAGCCUUCUGGGCCAACACUGACGCUCAUGCACGAAAGCUGGGGAGCAAACAGGAUUAGAUACCCUGGUAGUCCACGCCCUAAACGAUGAUGACUAGUUGUUGGGGGAGUUAAAUCCCUUAGUAACGCAGCUAACGCGUGAAGUCAUCCGCCUGGGGAGUACGGUCGCAAGAUUA
rnacentral:rRNA from 1 species